AGCCCAUUAGCCACGAAUGGUCGACCGCUACUUUAUACAAGCAGCGAAGCCAAAACACAACCGCUGCGUGCUAGGGUUUUGCCGCCGCCACUCGCCGCCGUCCUCCCUAGCGUACCCCUCUUUUGCAGCAGUUGCCGUCGCCAUGUCUCGGAGGAAGAAGACGCGGGAGCCCAAGGAGGAGAACGUGACGCUUGACCCCGCCGUCCGUGAGGGCGAGCAGCCGAGCACGUCUUCGGCGUCGCACACAUCUUCGCGUCCUUCAAUGACACAUUCAUCCAUGUGACGGAUCUCUCCGGAAGGGAGACGCUCGUCCCAUCAUCACUGGUGGCAUGAAGGUUAAAGCUGAUCGUGAUGAGUCCUCAUCUUAUGCUGCGAUGCUUCCCUCACAGGAUGUUGCACAAAGAUGCAAGGAGCUUGGAAUCACAGCAUUGCACAUUAAACUCUGUGCUACUGGUGGAAACAAGACCAAAACCCCUGGCCCUGGUUUGUUAACCCGGAACUUCAUUGUGUACAUAGGAUGCUACUCGAUCCAGUCCCCACUGACAGCAACGCGCAGAAAGGGUGGUAGGAGAGGAAGGAGGCUGCAACUUCAAGUGUCAUGGCGCCCUGUCAGAUGUAGCGGUUCAAGUCUGUCUGCAUCUAAUAUACUCCUACUGAGGAAGUUUUUUGUUCUGUAUUGAAUGAAGUUUUGAGGUGUCAACUCUUGGACGUUUUCUGUUUAUAAUCGUUCUUGACAAAUUAUGUGGCAUUCAACAUAGCAAGGCACGAUUAAGGAGAAUCCACUUUUUUUUUGGUUGUUGUGAUAGUGGUUUCAAUUAUUA